UUAAGGGGAGUCUCUCUCCUCUUUUUAGAGAUAACUCUCUCUUCUCUUUCUUUUCAACGAAUCCAAAUCCUUCAGAGAAAAAAAGAGAGAUGUUUUUGUUUUUGAUGUAAUAUAAAUGAUCUUCAAUCAAAAGAUCAAUCUUUCGUCUUCCGUUUGCGAAUUUCUACUUCGCAAUGCGAGUUUUUGUUGUGUUUCAGCAUGAAUCAGAACUGCUCUUUAAGGCUUUAUUCUUCUCAGAUUCAAGUUGAAUAAUAAAUUGCCAGUCAUGGAAGGUUACAGUUUCUUCAUCUUGAUCAGACAAAAGGUAGUGGCUCUGUAAUUUCAUUCCUAUUCAUGUUUUGUCUCUUUCCAAUUAACGAAUCUACUUGAUGUUAUGAGGGUAAUUUCGCGCCGGCUUAAGCCGUCAAUCCUUGGUGGGGCGGUGUUAAAGUUUUCAGAAUUGCAAAGUUCACCGGGAAGGCAGGUGUGCUCCUCAUCGCAAGCAGAAGAAGUUUUGACAGAAGGGAGAAGGGCGACAGAAGAGACGCUGUUGUUUGAUAUCAGAUUGGAUUAAUGGUAUUUCCAAAAGAAAUGCGAUUUCUGGCAGCUUUACAAUGAAGAGAAGACUGGAACAAGAAGACCCCGCGAAGCAGGCUUUUCGACGCCUUUAAUUGUCGUCUCAUGCAUGGAGGACACAUAUUAGGAUACAUGUAAAGCUUUGUUUGGCUGGCACGUGGAUAAACACUCAACAAUAAUCAUCUCUCACAGUUUUGGGCUUUUCUUUUUUUUUUUCUCAUAUCAUAUGUAAUUGCCCGUUGGAUUUUUAUUUAAUGGUAAACACGGGCCCAUAAAAAAAGAGUAUUACUCCUCUGUUUUAUAAUAAGUAUUGUUCUGACAUUUUUUCUCGUUACAUUUUAAAAUUCUAAUUCUAAUUACAAACUGC
rnacentral:lncRNA from 1 species